UACCAAAUAGGCCUGUCGCUGUUUAUUUCCCAGUUUCAUGGCUAAAAGGUUGCAAAACAUACAUUUCCAGUUUGCUGCACUUCUGGCUUCUUGCUCAGGGCUCCCACACCCAGAAAAUAAACACCUGGGCAGGCUUAGGAAAUCAUAAUCCUUGCCCCACAUAUCUACUACACCCAGUAAGUCCAGCCUGUUGUUGUUCCUGUGUCCUACGGUAUUUUGCAACAUUCGGGACUUGUACGCAUCGAUGUAAUUACCACUGGACUGGGCCACAACUUAAACAACCUUGCUGAAGCAGCCACUUGCAUAGGGAACAAUGAAUAAACACUUGGUGUGUGACUUACACAUGGCAAGAUAGCUUUAAAAAGGUGCAAUGAGGGUUUUGGACAAGCACAAUACUUAGCCCAUACACUGGGUGGAAGAAGGAUUCCUAAAAAGCAGACAGCUUGUCUGGUAGAAGCAGCUAGGUCUAUAAAUCUGUUCAUUGGGGCACAUAUUUCUGUGAAUUACAGCAGUGCAAAGAGCAGUGUUGGCAGCUUAGGGACCUAAAGAUUUUUUCACACCACUCACGUAUCUAAUUUAUAUCUUACAGGAAGCAGUAAAAUACCAGCCUAACUACCUGCAGCUUUAACUAACAGCCAGCUGAAAAAGGAUUCCAACUUCCUCCUUUGCCAGUCACCCACAGAUGCAAGACAAGCAAUCUCUCAUAAUGCUAUUACACUGGAUGCAUGGAUUGUUCUGCUCCUCCACUGAUAUCCACAAGGUCCCAUUAGCAAGGAAGAAACAGAAUAGAGGCCCUAUCCUGCAACUGCAGCUGUGGAGGUGAGUCCUUGUGUCCGUGCAGAGGCCCUACUGAACUUAAUGGGGCUUCCAACAAGCACCAGCGUCCACUGAUGAGACUGUAACAGCAAGAUCAGGACUUGGAUGUUCCAGUGAGGUUCGCUAUGUACUAAUUAAGCAUGCUGCAAAAAUAGAGAAAAAUAUUUUAAUUUAAUCAUUUCUUUCAAUGACAACAAUAUUAGAUGCUACUUGUAACUACAGCUUGCACGGAUAUUUGUAACUUUCAAGUUAAUGGUUUCUCCUGAUGACAGAAGCUGGAGUGCCCGAUGUGUGCAACUAUGCACAAUAAAGAUUUGCUAUGGUUUCCACUGGACCCUGAAGUCAAGUCAACAUUUCCUCCUACUUUGUACUGUUUGCAAUUCCUAUUAACUUGAUUCAGGUCCAAAAUGUUUCAUAUCAUCUGGUUGUCAUGGGGGAGAAGCGGGUAAAAUGAUGCUUUCAUUGAUGUUUCUUUAUUCAUUCUGCAUCAGACUUCACGCUACAGCACAGUGUUUCGUUGUCACGGGGCUUUACUUCUCAAGAUGAGGAUACAAAGCCACAUGCAGUUCUCCAAAAAAAUGCAGCCCUCCCCCCAGUGUGAG